GGCAGACAAGCAAGCAAGCCAAGGUGUCCAUAGUGUCCACAGGGCCAGGCCUGUUCAACAACAACUCGUACUCCACGGUUAUAGCAAUGGCAGCUACUAUGCAUUCGGCUCAAAAGCCGUCUGACCCGGAAGCUCUGAUGUUAUUUUUACACAAGCCGCAUUUAAUUUUGAAACAAAAAAUGUGUAAGGAUUUAAAAUUUCAAUUUUUAUCCAGAUUAAAUAUAACAUUACACUUUUGAAAUGGAGAGGAUAAUCAAUCCCACCCUCCCACCGACGGCCUCCCUCCCCCCGCUGUCUUAGCGGCCGCCGGUGGGAUUGUGGAUGGAGACCCAGCAGAAAGGAAAAGAAAAACAAAAUUGGCGGAUGAACGCCUCGGAACCAACAGCCAAACAUGCUUUAGUUUAAGGAGUAUGUUUUUGUUUCUUAGGACUACAUCAAUUUUUUUUUUCAAAAUGCAAUAGUCAAAGAGCUCAAUCACCAAGCGCAUAGAACCUUUUUUUUGUAUGAUGCACUAUACAAAUCCAACUAUUAUCUAUUAUUAUUAAUUAUAUUAUCUAAAACUUUCAUUGAAGUGUUGGGGUAGGGUGUUUGGGCUCGCUGGCUGUAUUAUUUUUCUACUAAAUAUUAUGCAGGAAACAUUUAUUUUGAUUAUAAUUAUUAAGGCCUAUUUAUUGUGCCCCUAAUGGGCAGCUUUUUUUUUUCUUUUGCCAACAUUGGAUAGGCUUUUUUUUGAUAUGGACUUCUUUUCGAGAUGGAUGGACAUCUUUUCGAGGCUACAUAGAGGUGUUUGAGCUUCUUUUUAAUUUAUUGUGUAACGUUUUAUUCAAUAAUGAAAAUACCUUUAACACAGAAUAGUGUGGGAAGAAAAGAGCUAAUAAGGAAACAAACACUUUAAACUUUACCUGAUCACAAAGGAAGGAUGCCCACGGCACAAAUCCGAUUGUUCAUUCCCUUUAGAUUAUUUCAAUUUAUUUAUAUAUUUUCUAAUUUACUUUUUCUAAUUUACCCUUGCUUCUUUUUAAAAUGAAUGCUGUAAAGUUUUUGGAAUAGCUACUAUAAAACAAUGAGUGUAUUAACUGGCAUUAAAUCACCUAAACUACUGCAUAAACCAAGCAUGUUGUAAUAUUUUUUUUUUUUUUUUUGCCUUGGAAUUCAUGUACAGUGUA